rnacentral:rRNA from 1 species
GCGGCGGACGGGUGAGUAACGCGUGGGUAACCUGCCCUAAAGCCCGGGAUAACAGCGGGAAACCGCUGUUAAUACCGGAUACCUUUACCCUGGGGCAUCCUGGGGUAAAGAAAGAAUUUCGCUUUAGGAUGGGCCCGCGUCCCAUUAGCUAGUUGGUGAGGUAACGGCUCACCAAGGCGACGAUGGGUAGCCGGCCUGAGAGGGUGAACGGCCACACUGGGACUGAGACACGGCCCAGACUCCUACGGGAGGCAGCAGUAGGGAAUAUUGCGCAAUGGGCGAAAGCCUGACGCAGCGACGCCGCGUGAGCGAAGAAGGCCUUCGGGUCGUAAAGCUCUGUCCUCAGGGAAGAAGGAAGUGACGGUACCUGAGGAGGAAGCCCCGGCUAACUACGUGCCAGCAGCCGCGGUAAUACGUAGGGGGCGAGCGUUGUCCGGAAUUACUGGGCGUAAAGGGUGCGUAGGCGGCCUCUUAAGUCAGAUGUGAAAGACCACG